GCACUUUCUGGACACUUAGAAGCUGCCAGGCCUGGGGUGUCUGUCUGGGCACAGUGCUCUGUUGGAAUUAACCACCGACGCUAACGAUUUCAACAAAGUAACUUCACCACUACACCAGGUUCUAAGCGUGGCUCAGAGCUCGCCGGCUGUUUUGGGAGAAGAGAGACACUCAUCGGUAAUUGCACUUUCCUAAGAAAAAGGUUGAGACUUGGCAAGAUCGAUUAAGGUCACUGAGCUGGUGGGGAGCUGGUCUGCCGCAACAGACUGUCUCAGCUCCAAAAGAGCCCAGGGCUUUAGGAACCUGUACAGGGCAUGAGAAUGAUUAUACACUGCCAGUAAUGGUAAUACUGAGAAAUCACUAGAGCAGGCUGGUCUCAGACUAGUAGGGCCUACGGUGAGAUUAGUGCUCUUACCAGACCUGCUGGGCCUUGGAGGAAUGAUCCCAGAGUGGAGGUAAUCGAAAGCAUUGCCAUCCCAGUCUCACUGGAUCUCUCUCAUUGAAUCCAUGACGCACACUCAGGUCAGCACUGUUUCCGGAGGAGGAAGCUACAUUUUAGAGAGGAGAUAAGGGCAAGCCUGUGAAUGCGUGCUGGGCAGAGGCAGUGGCCACCAGUACAGCCUCAGUCCGGGUCCUCUCUGUGUCCUCCACAUAGCUCAAAUUCACAGUCAUGAAACAAUGGGUCCUGUGCUGGUGAGCACCCCGCCCCCAAGUGCUCCCUGUCUGGCCUGUUUCCCAGGUGUCCCAAUCAGGCUGAGUGUGGUGCGUUCUGGCUUCUGGCUUCUGCUGGCCCUGCCCAUAGAGGCUGACUCUCCUGGUUCCUGUCUGCUGAGGACUGGACCUGGGACUGGAGUGAUGUGGCCUCAGAGUGUUCCACUGUCAGGGCCUUGGCAAGUGCCACCUCUAUCUUCAGGCUGCUAACUGGUCAAGGAGGCAAACCUUGGAAACCUUUGGGCCUGCCACCCCUGUGGCCCUGAGGGCAGUGGUUCCUAGCACGGCUCUCCAUUUCUCCACCUCUUCAAUGGCACAACGGGGACUCAUCUUCAUCAUCUUCUUUGCAGUAGAAACUUAUCACUAUCUAUUUGGGAAUGGUAAACAUUUACAGGGAUGAGGGAGGCUGCAGAGCUGACUAAGUGGGAAAAGGAGCUUGUUGCCGAACCUGACGAUCUGAAUUUGAGGCCUAGGACCCACACCGUGGAAGGAGAGAAUUGUUUUUCUGCAAGCUGCUCUCUGACCUCUAAAUCACACACACACAC